AUGGGACUCCUAUUUGUGCCCAUCUGCAACCACCUCUCUUCCUCCCUCACCCUCCUGGGCUUUUCUGGCAACCAAGAGAUGGAGCGCUUUACCAAGGAGCAAGAGGACGCCCUUCACCUCCUCGUAUACCUCCAAAAACUAAAGUUUAUCGACUUUAGCAAGCUUCAAAGCUUCCCUGCAGGGCUGCAAAAGCUCACAAACCUCAAGGAAUUAUCGGUCUACUCAUGUCCUGUUGUCCGUUCGCUGCCAGAGGAUGGCCUCCCCAAAUCACUUCAAGAAUUAAAUGUCAAGUACUGCGGCAACUCGGAGCUAAAACAGCAGUGCGAGGGGUUAGUGGGAAUCAUCCCAAAUAUCAGGCUUUAA
rnacentral:rRNA from 1 species